rnacentral:lncRNA from 1 species
GCCGGAACACCAUUCUUCGCCAGGCCAGGAACACAAGCUCCGGGUGGAUAAGGCAGCUGCUGCAGCAGCGGCACUACAAGCCAAAUCAGAUGAGAAGGCGGCGGUUGCAGGCAAGAAGCCUGUGGUAGGUAAGAAAGGAAAGAAGGCUGCUGUUGGUGUUAAGAAGCAGAAGAAGCCUCUGGUGGGAAAAAAGGCAGCAGCUACCAAGAAACCAGCCCCUGAAAAGAAGCCUGCAGAGAAGAAACCUACUACAGAGGAGAAGAAGCCUGCUGCAUAAACUCUUAAAUUUGAUUAUUCCAUAAAGGUCAAAUCAUUUUGGACAGCUUCUUUUGAAUAAAGACCU